CUACGGGGGGCUCCAGUGGGGAAUAUUGGGCAAUGGGGGCAACCCUGACCCAGCAACGCCGCGUGAAGGAAGAAGGCUUUCGGGUUGUAAACUUCUUUUACCAGGGACGAAGGACGUGACGGUACCUGGAGAAAAAGCCACGGCUAACUACGUGCCAGCAGCCGCGGUAAUACGUAGGUGGCAAGCGUUGUCCGGAUUUACUGGGUGUAAAGGGCGUGUAGGCGGAGCGGCAAGUCAGAAGUGAAAUCUCUGGGCUCAACCCAGAAACUGCUUUUGAAACUGUCGCCCUUGAGUAUCGGAGAGGCAGGCGGAAUUCCUAGUGUAGCGGUGAAAUGCGUAGAUAUUAGGAGGAACACCAGUGGCGAAGGCGGCCUGCUGGACGACAACUGACGCUGAGGCGCGAAAGCGUGGGGAGCAAACAGGAUUAGAUACCCGCGUAGUC
rnacentral:rRNA from 1 species